CGGGCAAACAAGCCGCCAAAUAUUUCGCGAAAAUUGAAAUUGAAAAUACUGAGGGAAUUCCGACGGAAAAUAUCCGUCAGACCCAAGGUUUUAUAAACUCGAACCGCAUCUUCUUCCCCAUUUCUCUCUUCUUCCUCUCCGGCGAUCUCUCUCUCCUUCCGGCGUUCUCCACCUUCUCUCGCGACGAUCUCUCCGGCGAAUCCUUUCCAUUCCUUUACAAAUCAUGUAAGGACCUUAUCCCACUCUCUUAGGUCCUAUUUGUUAGGUUUUUAAGUAGAUUUGAUGAUUUUAGAAGUUUUUUGAUAGAUUUUUGUUAGGGUGAUUGGGUAGGAUUGUGAUUUGUUGUGUAAUAGGUUUAGAAUUGUGAUUUGGUUGUGUUGAAUUGAUUUAGAACUUUUUUUAUAAAUUGUUUAUUAUUUU
rnacentral:lncRNA from 1 species